rnacentral:rRNA from 1 species
ACAUGCCUACAUCAUAGCGUUAAUGCACCAGAUCCCAUUAGAACUCUGCAGUUAAGCACGCUCAAGUUAGAGUAGUACCGGGAUGGGUGACUGCCUGGGAAGUCCUAGUGUUUUACAUGCC